rnacentral:lncRNA from 1 species
ACACAAAGAGGAGCCUCCACACCACUCAUUCAUGGGAUUUCAUGGGCUUGUCCGUCGAUGCAGCGGCUGAGCUACCUGAAUUGUCAAGCAAGAACCAGGAGAAUGUCAUUAUUGGAUUUAUUGACACAGGUGUGUUCAGUGUUCAUCUCAUAUUUAGGUUAGCAUGGAAGUUUAGCUGUGUUCUUUCCAUUCUAAGUAUCAUCCGACAGAAUCCAUUUAUGAUGGGGAUCCUCCAUCAAUUGUUUUAAUUUUCUGUUUAGCAUAGAAACUGCCAAUGAUGACAAAGUUGCAAAGAUUAGAUUGACAGGUUUUUGGCUUGUUGUUAAAGUAGCACAUGCAUAUACUACAGAUGGUCUGAAACUCUGAAUGCUAUUUAGUUUCCAUCCUGAUCUUGAUUUGGAUUUUUCAAUAACGAGAUGUUACGUGAUACUCAGCAAUUGUACUUCCAGAAGCAAUAACAUUGGGUAGAUAGAAAUUCAAGAGUUUUUAAUUGACCGGUUAUUCACAAAGUUCAUAUACCUUGUGCCUCUGUUCCCCCCAGGAAUAUGGCCAGAAUCUCCUAGUUUCAGAGAUCAUGGAAUGCCUCCGGUUCCUACAAGAUGGAGAGGGCAAUGCCAGCGGGGAGAGGCAAACUCACCAUCAAAUUUCACCUGUAACAGGUAAAGAACAUGAUACAAAAUUUAAUCACAUUAUUCAACAUAGAUUUCACACAUUAAUGCAUCUGCACUAAUAUUAUAGGAAGAUAAUAGGAGGUAGGUAUUAUCUCAGAGGAUACCAAACAGAAGAGAGCGGCCAGAGUAGAAGUGCCAUCAAGUUCAUAUCUCC